rnacentral:rRNA from 1 species
CCACCCGUUCCCAUUCCGAACACGGCAGUUAAGCUCAUCAGCGCCGAAGAUACUUGGCUGGAGACGGCCCGGGAAAAUAGGUCGAUGCCGACA